GCUUAGGAAGUGUAAACACGCCGCCUUUUCGAGACGGAAAUGGACCGUUCAACUGUCCCUUAAGUA
rnacentral:tRNA from 1 species